ACCUCUCUCCUUUUCCUUUUCUUCCUUCCCUUCCCCUCCCCUCUUCACGCACACACCACUCAUCUCUCUCCCUUUAUUUUCUUUCCUUCAUUUUUCCCCCUUCCUCACGCAACACCUCUCUCCCAUUUCUCCCUUUCUCAUUUCUUCCUCUACCCACAACAAAUCGAGAGAGUGAUUCACGCAGGAAUGGUGAGAGAGCCCGAGUUGCAGAAAUUUACGAAGAAGAGGAGGAGAAUAAAAUGGUAGGUGGAAUGUUAUUUGUUCUUCAGUAAAGACGUGCUUGCAUAUUGGAGUUUCACUCUAGUGCUCGCAUGAUCAGCUGUUAUUCAAAGGCAGGAAGCUGUAAUGCACUCGACACAAAGUUACUCACAUUUGGCAAUGUUGUAUCUUUGUAUUGCUGAGUAAGAUGCCAUUAAUUUGUGCUCAAUAUACUUAGAUUACUACGUUACUGGAUUUGAGUAAUGUAAGUGUCUUGCGGUAGGUAGGUGGAAUGUCAUUUAUUUUUCAGUAAAGACGUGUUUGCAUAUUAGAGUUCCACUCUAGUGUUCGCAUGAUCAGCUGUUGUUCAAAGACACGAAGCUGUAAUGCACUUGACACGAAAUUACUCAUAUUUGGCAACGCUGUGUCUUUGUACAUUUAAGCCACCAAAUUGUAACAGUAUUAUAGUAGGUGAGAAUGUAUGUAGUUGCUUCCAA